rnacentral:rRNA from 1 species
AACGAACGCUGGCGGCAUGCCUAACACAUGCAAGUCGAACGAGACCUUCGGGUCUAGUGGCGCACGGGUGCGUAACGCGUGGGAACCUGCCCUUAGGUUCGGAAUAACUCCCCGAAAGGGGUGCUAAUACCGGAUAAUGUCUUCGGACCAAAGAUUUAUCGCCUUUGGAUGGGCCCGCGUUGGAUUAGCUAGUUGGUGGGGUAAAAGCCUACCAAGGCGACGAUCCAUAGCUGGUCUGAGAGGAUGAUCAGCCACACUGGGACUGAGACACGGCCCAGACUCCUACGGGAGGCAGCAGUGGGGAAUAUAGGACAAUGGGCGAAAGCCUGAUCCAGCAAUGCCGCGUGAGUGAUGAAGGCCUUAGGGUUGUAAAGCUCUUUUACCCGGGAUGAUAAUGACAGUACCGGGAGAAUAAGCUCCGGCUAACUCCGUG